UCCGGUUUGACACCGGCAGUCUCGCUAGAGUACCCGACAUUACUCGCUGGCAACUAGCGACAAGGGUUGCGCUCGUUAAGGGACUUAACCCGACACUUCACAGCACGAGCUGACGACAGCCAUGCAGCACUUGUGCUUGUUCCACCCUUGCGGGUGUGGCUCCUGUUUCCAGGAGUUAAUCCAAGCAUGUCAAGCCCAGGUAGGGUUCUUCGCGUUGCAUCGAAUUAAUCCGCAUGCUCCGCCGCUUGUGCGGGCCCCCGUCAAUUCCUUUGAGUUUUAGCCUUGCGGCCGUACUCCCCAGGCGGGGCACUUAAUGCGUUAGCUACGGCGCGGAAAACGUGGAAUGUCCCCCACACCUAGUGCCCAACGUUUACGGCAUGGACUAC
rnacentral:misc_RNA from 1 species